rnacentral:rRNA from 1 species
AUGAAACCAAUCUUCAUAAAAAAUUUUAAUCAAAACAAUUAAAAAAUUUUGUCAUAAAAUAAUAAAUAAAUUAGUACCUUAAGGGAACUUAAAAUAACUUUAAGUAGUGAUAUAAUCACGUACCUUGUGCAUUAUGGUUUUACAAGACAAAAAUUAAAUAUAUUAAUCCCGAAUUUUAUGCGAGCUGACUAAAUAUUGCUAAGAGCCCACUAUUAGUUAUAGCACCAACUUUAGAAAAUAUUUAGUCAGGGGCUACAUACCAACCGCGCUAAAAAAUUGCUGGUUCUUGAUGAGUUUUAUUAAUUAAAGCAUGUAGAAAAUCUACCCUGUAAAAUUAUAGAGGAUAAGCCCUAUAAUAUUAAACCACAUAAAAAUAUAUAAUUACAACUAUAGGCCUAAAAACAGCCACCUAUAACACUUUACCGUGAAACUGUAAAAGCUAAUAAAUACUAUAGCGUGUUCCAUAUAAUCAAGACAUAGGAAAAAUAAAAAUCCUUUUUUACUAUGUAAAAAUAAGUAUUAAA